rnacentral:rRNA from 1 species
UGGGGAAUAUUGCACAAUGGGCGCAAGCCUGAUGCAGCCAUGCCGCGUGUAUGAAGAAGGCCUUCGGGUUGUAAAGUACUUUCAGCGAGGAGGAAGGCGAUGCGGUUAAUAACCGUGUCGAUUGACGUUACUCGCAGAAGAAGCACCGGCUAACUCCGUGCCAGCAGCCGCGGUAAUACGGAGGGUGCAAGAGUUAAUCGGAAUUACUGGGCGUAAAGCGCACGCAGGCGGUCUGUCAAGUCGGAUGUGAAAUCCCCGGGCUCAACCUGGGAACUGCAUUCGAAACUGGCAGGCUUGAGUCUUGUAGAGGGGGGUAGAAUUCCAGGUGUAGCGGUGAAAUGCGUAGAGAUCUGGAGGAAUACCGGUGGCGAAGGCGGCCCCCUGGACAAAGACUGACGCUCAGGUGCGAAAGCGUGGGGAGCAAACA